AUUGAACGCUGGCGGCAGGCCUAACACAUGCAAGUCGAGCGAGCGGCGGAUGGGUGAGUAAUGUAUGGGGACUGCCCGUUAGAGGGGGAUAACUACUGGAAACGGUAGUUCAUACCGCAUACUAUCGGAUAAUUCAUAUGGGAUUAGCUAGUGGGUGAGGUAAUGGCUCACCAAGGCGACGAUCCCUAGCCGGUCUGAGAGGAUGAUCAGCCACACUGUGACUGAGAAAUGGCCCAGACUCCUACGGAGGCGGCAGGGGGGAAUAUUGCACAAUGGGCGCAAGCCUGAUGCAGCCAUGCCGCGGGUAUGAAGAAGGCCCUGGGGUUGUAAAGUACUUUCAGUCGGGAGGCGUUACCGACAGAAGAAGCACCGGCUAACUCCGUGCCAGCAGCCGCGGUAAUAC
rnacentral:rRNA from 1 species